rnacentral:rRNA from 1 species
CUACGUGCCAGCAGCCGCGGUAAUACGGAAGGUCCGGGCGUUAUCCGGAUUUAUUGGGUUUAAAGGGAGCGUAGGCUGGAGAUUAAGUGUGUUGUGAAAUGUAGACGCUCAACGUCUGACUUGCAGCGCAUACUGGUUUCCUUGAGUACGCACAACGUUGGCGGAAUUCGUCGUGUAGCGGUGAAAUGCUUAGAUAUGACGAAGAACUCCGAUUGCGAAGGCAGCUGACGGGAGCGCAACUGACGCUGAAGCUCGAAGGUGCGGGUAUCGAACAGGAUUAGAUACCCUGGUAGUCCGCACAGUAAACGAUGGAUGCCCGCUGUUGGUACCUGGUAUCAGCGGCUAAGCGAAAGCAUUAAGCAUUCCACCUGGGGAGUACGCCGGCAACGGUGAAACUCAAAGGAAUUGACGGGGGCCCGCACAAGCGGAGGAACAUGUGGUUUAAUUCGAUGAUACGCGAGGAACCUUACCCGGGCUUGAA